UUCUUCAGCUUCCCCCACUGCUGAUAAGCAAGAGUUCUGCUUUCAGACAGAGACCCAGAGCUGGGUCAGCCCAGUCAAUGGACACUACACACACAUUUCAGGUGUCAGACAGACUAGAUCAGCCAUCCCCUUCUCCCACACAGCUGACUGCAAGCUUGUUUCGUCAGAUGCUGCACCUUCAGACAGCAGUUGUGUCCCUGCUUUGCAGGGGGCAAUUGAAGAUAAGUACAUUGUUGUACAGACAAGAUCUUUCAGUUUCUCGGUUUCAGGUCAGUUUUGUGUCUGUGUGUAUGUGUGUUCCUGUGUGUGUAACCAUCCUUGACUCCACUAUCUCUUUAUGUAGGCACUUUUAUGCGUGCUAUCCCUGGGUUACCUUGGGUACUGAAUCCAAAGCUCUGCUACAUUUCUCUGUGAGGGAAAGUUGGAUGGCAGCCAUCUCUGUGAGGAUGUGAAACAACAUCAUGUGCCCUCAUUUACCCUUGUUUUCCUGUGGAGAUCUUUCUGAGUUUUUGGGAGAUGGAGAUCAGGCUGUACAGCCGCCCUGCUCAGAGGAGCCUUGCUGUCUUUGCAGUUGUGCACAUAGAACGUUGUGCUCUCGCUGUUGGUGUGCUCCUGUUGGAGCUUGUUGUGAGCUCUGAAACUCACUCAGGCAGAAAGGAGGUGCUGACUGCUUUCUGUUGUUCACAGCUCCACUACUUGCAGUGCAGUGUGCAGCAGUGGCAGGAGGAGCACUGAUUUUGCCUGGCACCUGGGUAACAAGUGUCCACAUUUGAGCCAUUUCAUCUUCAUAACGAAAACGUAAAUAAUUGGUAUUUACAGCAUGUGGGAAAAAGCACUGCUUAACACAAGAACAUUAACUACCUCGGAACUUGCUGCAGCCAGAAUAAGUUGAGCACAGGCUGCAGGUCACUACAAAGCAGCCCAAGCAUGGUCUGUUUACCAUUUCAGACACACUUGAGGCACUGGUGGGAAUUUCUUUUUCCAAGUUCACCCAGCAGGCAGGGUCUGAGAGCCAGGAAGUGGCAGGGCUGUUGUUCUCAGCCCAAGAGGCUGCAGAAAAGCAGUUGCUGAGUCAGACAGGGCACCCCUGAGGGCUCUGGCUGCAGACCAGCCUGCAGGACCUGCCAGCGCACCUACCCACAGAAGUGAUGUUUUAGGAAAGAAUGUGCAGCUCACAAAGAGAUUUGUGUUUCUCUGAGAGCUUUUUGAUAUUUUAAGUUUCAUUUGCAACAAAGAAACAUCUUGAGUGUUGUAAAAUCUGGAAGCACUUGGAACACCAGCUCCCCACCCUCCACCCAGGGCUCUGCGGCGUUCCGCUGUACCUGCUGCCGUCACCAUGGCAAUGGGUACUGGCAAAAGCGGGAUAAAGGCUUUACAGUAAUUACCAAUAUAAUUAGUACGUUCACCUCUCAGGAGAUUAGCUCUCCUCAGAGCCCCCACAUGGUGAAACUGUCCAGUUCAGACUCAUCAGUACAGCAGCAUCCGAAGGGGCACUGGUUCAGACAUCAGCGCAGGGAUGGCACACGGCCAGUGGAGCACAUCAGACUGAGUUCCAAGGCAAGCACUCAAAGAAUUAGGAGGUGCUAUAAUUAAGAGUCUGAAUUCUGAAGAAAUGAAAUUCAAAGCAUGUAUGUCCAUCAGACAAAUACGCUGCAUGCAGCAGGGCUAGAGACUUACUGAGAGCGUCCAACAAAGAACAGACCACAGGUUUCAGAAGUAACUUGCUGUGACCAACUCAGGAAACCAAUCUAUAAAACAAGUCAGUGAGUGCGGCUUCCAUGCAGCGUGCCAUUCAGCACAGCAUUCCUGCCCAGCACCAUGAGUUCCACCAAUAUAACCUCAGCAAGAGUGCUGGCAGCAGGCGUGGAACAGCUUCUGCCUUCCCUUAAUCACACUGGAUGGCCCAGAUCUGUUAUGGCUCAGUGCCCCUGGAACAACUGGAGAAGUUUAUCUGAUGUAUCGCAUUACGCCAGGAUAAAUAAGAUUAAAGAUCUUAUAUAUCUGGAAACAAAACAAGCCUUUCAAUAAAGUCCCUUUCUCCACCUUC